rnacentral:rRNA from 1 species
GUGGGGAAUAUUGCACAAUGGGCGAAAGCCUGAUGCAGCAACGCCGCGUGAGGGACGACGGCCUUCGGGUUGUAAACCUCUUUUAGUAGGGAAGAAGCGAAAGUGACGGUACCUGCAGAAAAAGCACCGGCUAACUACGUGCCAGCAGCCGCGGUAAUACGUAGGGUGCAAGCGUUAUCCGGAAUUAUUGGGCGUAAAGAGCUCGUAGGCGGUCUGUCGCGUCUGCUGUGAAAACUGGAGGCUCAACCUCCAGCCUGCAGUGGGUACGGGCAGACUAGAGUGCGGUAGGGGAGAUUGGAAUUCCUGGUGUAGCGGUGGAAUGCGCAGAUAUCAGGAGGAACACCGAUGGCGAAGGCAGAUCUCUGGGCCGUAACUGACGCUGAGGAGCGAAAGCGUGGGGAGCGAACAGGAUUAGAUACCCGGGUAGUCC